rnacentral:rRNA from 1 species
GACGAACGCUGGCGGCGUGCUUAACACAUGCAAGUCGAACGGAAAGGCCCUGCUAUUGUGGUGUUCUCGAGUGGCGAACGGGUGAGUAACACGUGAGUAACCUGCCCUUCACUUUGGGAUAACUUCACGAAACUAGGGCUAAUACCGGAUAGGAUCUCCUGCUGCAGUGUGGGGGUUGGAUAUUUUCGGCGGUUGGGGAUGGACUCGCGGCUUAUCAGCUUGUUGGUGGGGUAGUGGCUUACCAAGGCUUUGACGGGUAGCCGGCCUGAGAGGGUGACCGGAUACAUUGGGACUGAGAUACGGCCCAGACUCCUACGGGAGGCAGCAGUGGGGAAUAUUGCACAAUGGGCGGAAGCCUGAUGCAGCAACGCCGCGUGCGGGAUGACGGCCUUCGGGUUGUAAACCGCUUUCGCCUGUGACGAAGCGUGAGUGACGGUAAUGGGUAAAGAAGCACCGGCUAACUACGUG